AGCUAAUUUCGCUAAAUAGUACUCGAAACCUGAGCGCCUCGCAAAGAAGGGGGAGAUUCUCAACUGUCCUUCUCUGAGCCUAAUGACAAUAGAAAUGCCCUGUUUUAAAAGUAAGACCGUAUUGGUUUUCCAAAUAAACAAAUGCAUCCCUCCUGCCAUUUUACUGCAGAUGUAAAUUUAUUUUAAUGAGAGGGAAUGGAAGGAUUUAUUUUGCUAAAAUAGAGUUGGGGAUAGAGCCGGUGUAAAUCUUCAGGUUUAAAAAAAAAAGAGGGGGAAGGAGGGGGAAGCUGCUUUCCUGGCAGAAAGCUGCCUAACAGUCCUCUAAUUCUUUCUAGAUUAAAUCGCAAUAUGAAUACAGCAUCGAACAAAUACCGAGUUUCGCUCUGAACUCAGUGGAAAGCAGUUACGUCUAACAGAAUUCAAUGAAUUCCUCUUCUCCCUCAAUGUAGUAUGUGUGUGUUUUUCUCUUCCACCACACUGAAGUUCCAUGAAUAGGGAAAGUGGCUCCUAUUGUGUGCCUCUGAACUUCCAAGUCAAUGCAAUUUUUAACCACUGGCUUGUGGUACUUUGAAAAUCACCAGGGGCUGUCAGAGUUGGGUCCUCUGAAAAAUUUACAGUGCUAAAUCAGAGCAUAUGCUGUGAGAGAGGAAAAAAAAUUGCUUAAGAUUGGAGCAAGUACAGUAUCUGGCUGCCCCCUAGUGUAAGUCUCUUAUCUGCCUAAAAUUCAACUUUAAAAGAAAAGGAUCUCUUAAAGGGAAACGACUUUUGGCUCACGUAUGCAUACGAGAAUGAAACUUCUGUACAUUUUAAUCUGAUUAAUUCCUAAGGAUUUAAAAUUAAUUGGCUUGGGCACUCCUAGACCGGACUAUAAGAUUUCUGCAUCAGGGUUUCUGCGAGCGCUGUACCGAAUAGGAACCGUGCCUAGCAUGCUGUUGUCAGAGCAAAACACUUUUGCUGCUUAAAGUCAGAUCUACGUCUUUUGCAAUAAUACUUAAAAAAAAAAAAAGAAAAAAAAAAAGAAAGGAUAAAUAAUUGCCUUAAAGCCUCAGCCGAACUGCCAACCACACCUUCGGAUGUCAGAAGGCAGAAAUAUGUGAACUGCUGAGAGAGGUGGGUACUUUUUGGAUUUCUUUCCCUCUCACCCAGGAAUUCUACUACUUUAUCCAAGGAGAUGUAUCAUGGCGUGUUUUCUGAAGUCAAUUUUUCCCUUUUAUUAUAGAGAAGGGCAGUCAUUUAUGUGUAGGGAGGGAGACGGGUACGGUGCCUUUAUCUGAUCUGUGUCCCCAGCCCCGGCUACAACCUUCAUCGACGGCAAAUUCCCGCUCUGGAAGAUCAGGCCCUACCUGGGCUACUUCUCAGCCAAGGAAUGUAUCCUUCCCUUCAUCUCCACAUAUCUUACCUGUGAUGUAUGCUACUUUUUGAGGAGGGAAUAAUACACUGAUAUUUACCACAAAAGCGCAGCUUCAAAGCCUUUGUGUGUUUCUCAUCUCCAGCCAAAGCUUAUUAUUUACCACCUUAGAAAUCUACCCGGCUAAGGGAUAGUAGCAGUUACUGUCUUCGCUUUUACAUCCUAAUUUUCACGCAGCAAAUGCCCUGCAUUAGGGCCAGAUUCUCACUCAGAUGGAAGUUAUUAACUUUAAGCAGAACGGAGCCGAUUUCAGCCAGCCCCAGCCCGUGCCCUUCUAACUCUGUCGCUUUACAGCAUCCCCUUGUUUAUUUUAUUUUUUUUUUUCUUUGGAGGGCAUGAUUCUUUAAACUUGUUUGUUUUAUGCAGAGCAGCAGCUGAUUCCUAACUUUUUUUUUUCCCUCCCCACAAACACAUAAAGAGAAUAUUAAUAGGGAAUAUUAAUAGAGCCGAGUGCAGCACGAUGCUAGUUAGAUUGUAGUAGCUGAGAAAUAUGAACUAGUGAACAUAAUCCAUAAACUCCAUUUGGUUACUAUAAUACUCCAAUCUGUAUUUAUUACAACCCCACUCUGAUGCUUAUACAACGGCAAUUGCUAGAUUUAUACACUCUAAUGGUUUCACAAUAGGAAAAACCUGUGUUCUUUAUCUUUCUUUUCCUGUCCAAAAUAACCCCUUCCACAUAUACUUCAGGCUUCUCCGGACCUUGUCUGGGUUUAAUCACAGGCUGUGGGACAAAAUGUGCAUUAUUAAGAAAUAUAAAUAUUUUCAGAAGCAAUCAAAGGGUUGAAAGAUUGAUUCGGCAUGUAGAUUGGAUUUAAUUCGAAGCAGCUUUGUUCUAAUGAGGACUACUGGGAUACAAAGACGGCAGCCGCUUAUGGCCACCAGUUGGGAACUUCGACUCGCUGCAGCAACCUGUCAAGAAUUUCAAGAAACUGCCAGGAAUUUGGAAGAUGCCCACGUUUAAGACAAUGAUGAGGAUUGGGCCAAAAUCCAGAUCCAGGCUGGAUUCCUCCAUCUGAGUAGUCCUGUCUCGACCUACGACCGCUGAUGGAUCGCAGCGACGUGGACCUCUCCCUCUCCUUACCCCCCAGCACCAGAUCACCAAGAGGGGCUGAGAUAACGCUCACAGCCAACCAAGGAGUUCUACUCCUGACUCAAGAGUUUUCUAAGGUAGGGACAACUUACUAACUUUUUACAGCAAUGAUUUAAGCUCCAAGUGGUUCCAUCAUUUUUUGGAAAACAAUCUCUACCAAAACGCGCAACACAAUUCAUCCCCGGUGUCAGGGCACCAAAGAGAUGGAGUUGUAGGAGAAAUAGUAUUGUUUAGAUGCUUUUCAAAUACAAACAUAACAAUGAUACAUUAAAUAAUGCAAUCUACUCAACCGGACUUCCAAUUAUCUACACGCAAACUGUGCCUUCAUUCAUCACUUCAUUCACCUCAGCUGUAACGCUGGUUCGUGGUAGAUUUUAACACUAAGCCAGAAGUUUGAAUGGGAAGAAAAACAAGGAGAGUGCAAAGCUGUAUAUUAGCUUAGACAAGUAGGAUGUCAUUGCCAGCCUGAAUUUGUUGAUGACACCAGGCAUUAAGCAAGUAAAUCUUUAGCCACUUGAAGCAACAGUUCACUUACUUUCAGUAAUGACGUCCAGGAGGCAACGCAGUGGAUUUACAACAGUGUGUAGCUAUGUACUAAUAAUGGCCAGUUAGUCCCAACCACAAAAUAAUGAUUCAAAAUGGAGGUUCACCUUCACGCUGAAAAAAGUAUGUAUUUUUUAUAAUUUUAGUCUCAUUUCAAAUGUUCAAGAGUCUGGGUUUGAUUUUUUUUUUUUUGUUUUGUUUUGGUGGUGGGAAAGGAUUUUUGUCUGCAAAAUAUUGAGCUCACGGAAUCAUUUGGCCAAUUUCCAUCCUCACCUAGCAAGGACUAUGGAGAUGUUCAGUGGUACAAAAGGGCACCCAGCUCCCAGUCUGUGCAUUUUUGAGGUCAGGCCUUUCUGUGGGCUGUGGUUUGUCCCCGUUUCUACCAGAUAUCAGUGAUCUACAGCGGUUUUUCCUAAAUCACCGGACAUUGCAGAUCCACACACACACGGUGAGCUCACGUGCUGAAAACAGAAGUGUGUUGAGCAGCCAUCAUAGUUCUUUGUCCCAGCUAAAUUAUUUGUCUCCCUUUCUGCAAGACUUUCUUUCCAUACAUCCUAAUUCUACCAUCCUUUUCCCCUAAUAACAACAUAAAUGAGUACUCUAUAGGUGUAAUUACGAUAAUAGUUCUUUUACCGCAAAUACUAGAAGCCUGUAACCUGUAAUUCACUUUUUCUGAUACUCGUCUAUUCUAACACUAGACAUGUUAUUUUAAAAUGUCUAGGACCUGAAAGCGAAAUUUAUAUAGUGAUAUAUAACAGCAAUGGAAACUAAGCCUCCUCCUUAGCUCAGUCUUUAGAGCUAUGUUGCAUCUCUUUGCCAACUGAUGCCUUGUUCACCUAUAAAUAUCAUACCCACCGCUCCCACAAUGGUUCCAACAUCAGAGUUAAACAGGAGGAAGCGAGAUACGUCUCCAUCUGUUUAAUUUAAGGGAUGAACCCUCACAAGACCAUGAUUGGAAAGAGUGGGGAACCAAGGGCACAGAGAGACGGUUGAUGCAACUGGUUCUCUCACUGUCCCUGUACGGUGGUUCAGCUCUCAGUCACAGCACAGGGUACCAGAGGCUGGAGGAACACCGCAUGACCCGCUCCUGUCCUGCCUCCUCCUCGUCAAUCCUGUGAAGUGUACGAAGCCCUGAGAACCAAGCCAAGGUGAGCGCAUGACCAGCCGUUUGCUCCUCUCAUGGUCUCUACCUGAAGCACAGCGCAAAGUUUCAUCCUUUGCUUCUGCAGACUCCUCCUGGAACGGGCACCGUAAUGCUCCCUGAGACCUGGCAGCCCUUCGAAGCGAGCAUAUGGUCUGCUCAGCUCUUGCAGUCCUGGUGCACGGUGAGUAAACACGCCGCAAUGUCAGAGCAAACAGGAGGCUGUUUAGUAGCAUGAAAUUCUGUAGCCACUUCAAACUUCAGCAGCACUUCAGAAAUGGACGGAUUCCCCUUCUCUGCUGUGGCGUGCGCCGUUUGCAGGAGAGGUAGGAGAAAACUGAGACCAUCUCUUCGGGGGCGGAUGGCGUCUGUAGCCACCGCCCAUAAGGCUGAUGCUGCUGUGGAAGGGUCCUGGUGUGUCAGAAGUUGCAUUUUCUGGUGAUACUACGAUUUGGCUGCUUUGUUUUUCUGAGCUGUCCCCUGAUGCAACGUAACUUGUGCGGUAACUGGAAUAGAGAGAGGGACCUGAAGAUGAAAACCCCGCUGUUGAUCAAGGCUGGCGAAGGGCGGAACAUUAGCUGCAGUAAUUGUAUUUCGGAGGGAGUUAACGAAGCCGGGCUCGUCAACGCGAGCAAACAGAUCUGGUCCUGCCUCUGCGCUUCUCGCACUGGCAGAACAUUGCACUGAAAUCACUGGAGUAGGGAUCGGGCCAGGAAUGAGUGGCUGAGUUGCAAAGCAAAUUAAUUCCUGCCAAAAAAGUUCAGCUAUGCUCAGAAGUAUGUAAAGUGUCUGAUUUGAGAAGUGUCAAGUAGCAUUUGUGACCAAUUAUCCAAGAUGAAGGGGGCAGAGCUAUGUUUACAUGUACUAAUCUUCAGCCAAAGUUUGAAAACUCCAAUUCAUGGACACGCAUCAAAUUUCCGUUCAGGCUUGGCAUUUGCCUGUAUGCACGCACGCACAUUGCUCGGGGAUGACAGGAAAACAUGAUUACGACUUGCAAAUAAUACGAAUAAAAAAAAAAAAAUGCUAAGGGAGCUGCCAUGCAGCAGCAGCACGGUAAUUAAGCCUAUACUGUGAUAGGCGAAAAAAAUCACGGGCCACUGUAUGAGUCAAAUAGCUUUAUCAGCUGAGCUGAAAUAUGUGUGGUGUGUCUGUAUUGUUAUUUUUCCACAACCUGUGAAGCUCUGGGAAAUGAUCUACACAAAAGAAUAAGAAGUAAAAGCUGCCUCUGCCAUCUUCUGUUUAAUUAACACAGGUAUACUGACUUAAUGCAAUUAAUCGAGAUAGUAGGGAUUAAACAGUAACUCGGAGUUGACAGCGAGAAUGUUAUCGCUGCUAUGGCAGAGAAGGGCUAGAAAAUGAUAGUGGUGACUAGAAACUUUGUGAGUGAGAACAAGCUGUUCUGGAGUUUGGGGUGGGUUUCGGAGGUUUAUGCAGAUCUAUUGAAAUCUAGGGGCAGCUGAUUUUUCAUGUGGCCAAGUGUUUAUCUGCCCCUGCCCUUCCCCUUCCCCUCUCGGACCUUCCAGGGCAACCCCCAGCUUGGCAACAACUUUUAAAGUGAUUCCUCUUUCUUCUAACAGGUUCCUGAUGCUAAGGGUCUGACCUUAAAAUGUGCAGUUCACAGGGCAAGAAUGGGUACCGCAGUGAGCUUCUGGCCUUCAACCCUUCCAGAUACAGCUAUUUUGGUAAUCAGAAGACUAUAUUCAUGACGGGUGAGCGAACAGAGCCUUCCAGUGAAGGCUUUCUCAGCACAUUAACGCUAUCACUGCUGGAUGCUGUGUCCCUCUUCAGGUUGCCUGUGUCUACUUAAGACCCUAAAUGCAGAUUUGCAGAAGUCUGCAGCUUUCUGUAACUUCAUAACCACGCCUCAGUGCCUGCUGCACCUAAAAAUGGAACCAUUCCUCCUGGGCAUUUCCACGUAGACUUGGGGAGAACCGCAAUCACGUGCCGCCGUGAGCAGUUCAGACUUGGAUUUCUCGUCUGCAGGAGAGGCACAGCCUGGUUUGCCACAAUGCAACUGUCCUCAUUAAUGUACUUCAAGCCCUGAUGUACUGGGACCACCGUGGUUGGGUAAGAAGAUGGCUGACUUUUCCGGGCUCAUUCUCUUGGCUUAAGAAUGUUAAAUUGGGUGAUAAUGAGUAGUAACCGUGUCUCUUUUUAUGGUGAAGUUGACACUUGCCUUCUAGUAAACAGACACAGAGAUGACCCUCCUCAUUUCGCACAGGUCACCAAACAGCCCCGGAGAUGGUAAGGGUUAUUGGCCAUUUACCAAACUCUGUUUGACUUGGGUUCAUGGGUGAGAGAUGAAAGGCGCUAUAUUGCAUUACCAAUCCCUGGGGCCACCGGGUCUCCCUGAAGAAGCAUUUCAUUUAGCAAGGCAACCGCUGGCCCAUGGGAAUCGGAGAGUUAAGAAGAGGAGGAUGCAGUUUCAAUUGCAAAUGCUUCCUUAGGGCAGAUGUCUUAAAGCCACACGGAAACUCACUGCUUCAGUGUCCCAAUAAUUGCCCCAGGACACUCAAUGGCCAGCAGAUUUUUCCCUUAAUUAAUCUCCCCUUCUUCCCACCAAAACAUCCAUUAGGUUACUCCUGGUGUUUCUGCCUCUGCCCUAUUCUGUUUUGCUCCACCUCCCUGGGGGAGAUGCCUCAUACCUGGGGCAAGCCCAACGUGGCGGGUAUGAACUGUUACCUUUUCUAAGAGCUUCAAAGUCUAGGCAGCACGUGUUCUCCCUGUCUCCCAGAUGAAAUAAACUGCCCUGGUAUCGCACGUAGAGCUGUCGGGAGCUUGGGAGCAGAGAAGCCUUCUCCCAAACUUCCCAAACUUUUUCAAUAUCCUAGAGCCGAGAUGCUGACUGAUUUUCUUGGCUAUAGUGGAGUGGUCCUUGCUAUCAGGGUAGUCCUUUUUACAGAUGAUGGAUGCAGUGCUUAAUGCUGCAACGGUUACAGGAAGAACAUCUGCUGCUCAGACAGACCAAGAAUUCAACCCGGGCCCGUUCUCAACUUCUUACGAUCUCAAAAUCCAGUGCUGUUCCAAAUUCAUCAGCACUGGUCAAAAUCCGCUUUCACUUUCCUCCCUUGCUGUUUGUGAUGCGAAUCAUGAGAUGUUCAGGAGUCGCAUUUGUUGUUUGAGAGUUUUACAUCAUGGGUGUAACACUGCAUCUGCUGAGUCAGCAGUUCUUUAUGUGCGUGUUUGUUUAUUUAUUUAAUACUCUGUUUCCAGCAAGUUCUUGUUACCCAGUUCCUGCUGACAACCAGGGAAGAGGCACAAGUCAACUGAGAAAAUGAACGACUUCAAGGCAAGUGAAAAGAAUAGUAAAUGCAGGCCAUUCAUGUGACAGGAUCCGAUUCAUUUUUAUGCCAGGGAGAUUUUUUUUAAAUGGGACUUCUCCCAGUGGAGAGCUCACAAUGCUCAAGGCCCGCUUCACUAUAAAGACAAUACAUAAUUAUUUGGGCCUUAUUAUUAUUUUUUUUAUCACUCGUUUUUCCAGUCAUGUGGAGCGAGGGCACAGAUGAGAUCAGGACCCAGUUUAUUGCCUUGCACUGUUCAGAUCGUACACUCACUGUGCUGUACGAGCCUAUAAAAGGUCCUACCUGUCUGCUUUAUGGAGGCAGACAAAUGCACCCAGGCGGAAGGUUGAAGUGACGGGUCUGAGAUGGCAGAACCCAUCAGCAGCAAAAGUGGCAACUCAGCCUGAGACACUCCUGUCGCUGGUUGCUUUAGACGUCUUUUCUUCUUACGUUUAUUUUGAACCACUGAAAUGAUGAAUUGAAUAAAUGCCACGUCCUUUGAAGCACUAUUUAUUGUGUUUAUAGAAAACAGAUUAUCUGUUCUCUCAGGCUAGUGGAGGUUAUUAGGAGCGAUAAACUCAUCAGGAAAAAAUGUAGGGUGGGUGUGACGGAGAAACUUGUGUUUUAUUGCGCAGUGCCAUCUUAAUCCCUGGUUGUGGCGUGACAGACUACGCGCUCUCAGUGAUACUGCGCCAUCCUGUUCUCUGCUUUCAGGCUGGGCUCAUGAGUUGGAUUUGGAAGAAGCAACUUUCCUGCAGAUAUGUGGCUGGAAUACGAAAGCUAUUCCAAGGUUUAUUCCGAAAUCUUCCAUUGACUCCAACAAACUCUGCUUUCUGCUGGAUUAAGGAAGAUGUUUUGUACAUCAGAUCUGCUGUCCCACUAAUGAAAUGGGGAAUUUUAUAAACACAGCAGGGAGGGCGUUUCUGCCGCAGACAAGGUGACAGGCUAGGUGGACCUUUGGUCUAACCCACCACAGCCACUUCUAGGCAUGACAAAGCUUGUUCCCGUCUCCAGAAACUUGUGAAAAACCUCAGGUUCUCUUGUCAUUCUGUGGAGCGGGAUGAGGAAAACGAACACCAUGGGCCUUGGGAAGAAGGAUGCGGUCCUAACGGAAGGACUUGCUGAAGAGUUUACACACUGGCAAAGAAAUAGUACAAGUUGCACAAAACCCGUGACAAAUUUUUACUUCAUCAGAAACAGUUUAGAUCAGUCCUAUUUGAAUGUAACAGAAAGGACAACAGGCCAUACAUAUACAGGCCUUGAGAAAGACAAGCUUUUACAUGAAUGGAUACCAAGAAGCAUGUAUCAUUUCAGCAGUAUUUGAAAUUUUCAGUGCCAGAUCAACUGAGAGCACGAUGUUCUCAAUUUUCCCUCCUCAGAAGCCACUCCAAGCAAGAACUCCCUGAGAUAUUGAAUUGAUGACAAAAGUGGAUUUAUGCCUGGGAUUUUCCAUGAAAACUUUGUAUUGAAAAAUGACAGACAGGCAAAAAAGUUUGGAGGGAACAAUGUGAUUUUCAUGAGGUUUCUCAAGUGAAAAAAAGAUGUUAAAGACACUUCAAAAUUAUUGCAAGCGUCCUGAUAUUUUUCUAAAUGAACAUCUAUUUGCUUUGAAAUAUGUUUUGGUUUUA